CAGCCGCCGCGGGAAUACGAAGGGGGCUAGCGUUGUUCGGAUUUACUGGGCGUAAAGGGCGCGUAGGCGGACUGAUAAGUCAGGGGUGAAAUCCCAAGGCUCAACCUUGGAACUGCCUUUGAUACUGUUUGUCUUGAGUUCGAGAGAGGUAAGUGGAACUGCGAGUGUAGAGGUGAAAUUCGUAGAUAUUCGCAAGAACACCAGUGGCGAAGGCGGCUUACUGGCUCGAAACUGACGCUGAGGCGCGAAAGCGUGGGGAGCAAACAGGAUUAGAGACCCCGGUAGUCCCUGUCUCUUAUAC
rnacentral:rRNA from 1 species